rnacentral:rRNA from 2 species
GGGUUGUGAGGUUAAGCGACUAAGCGUACACGGUGGAUGCCCUGGCAGUCAGAGGCGAUGAAGGGCGUGCUAAUCUGCGAUAAGCGCCGGUAAGGUGAUAUGAACCGUUAUAACCGGCGAUACCCGAAUGGGGAAACCCAGUGUGAUUCGUCACACUAUCAUUAACUGAAUCCAUAGGUUAAUGAGGCGAACCGGGGGAACUGAAACAUCUAAGUACCCCGAGGAAAAGAAAUCAACCGAGAUUCCCCCAGUAGCGGCGAGCGAACGGGGAGGAGCCCAGAGCCUGAAUCAGCAUGUGUGUUAGUGGAAGCGUCUGGAAAGGCGCGCGAUACAGGGUGACAGCCCCGUACACAAAAGCGCAUGUGCUGUGAGCUCGAUGAGUAGGGCGGGACACGUGGUAUCCUGUCUGAAUAUGGGGGGACCAUCCUCCAAGGCUAAAUACUCCUGACUGACCGAUAGUGAACCAGUACCGUGAGGGAAAGGCGAAAAGAACCCCGGCGAGGGGAGUGAAAAAGAACCUGAAACCGUGUACGUACAAGCAGUGGGAGCACCCUUUGGGGUGUGACUGCGUACCUUUUGUAUAAUGGGUCAGCGACUUAUAUUCUGUAGCAAGGUUAACCGUAUAGGGGAGCCGUAGGGAAACCGAGUCUUAAC